rnacentral:rRNA from 1 species
UGGGGAAUAUUGCACAAUGGGCGCAAGCCUGAUGCAGCAACGCCGCGUGAGGGACGACGGCCUUCGGGUUGUAAACCUCUUUUAGUAGGGAAGAAGCGAAAGUGACGGUACCUGCAGAAAAAGCACCGGCUAACUACGUGCCAGCAGCCGCGGUAAUACGUAGGGUGCAAGCGUUAUCCGGAAUUAUUGGGCGUAAAGAGCUCGUAGGCGGUUUGUCGCGUCUGCUGUGAAAACUGGAGGCUCAACCUCCAGCCUGCAGUGGGUACGGGCAAACUAGAGUGCGGUAGGGGAGAUUGGAAUUCCUGGUGUAGCGGUGGAAUGCGCAGAUAUCAGGAGGAACACCGAUGGCGAAGGCAGAUCUCUGGGCCGUAACUGACGCUGAGGAGCGAAAGCAUGGGGAGCGAACAGGAUUAGAUACCCCCGUAGUCCCUGAGCGGGCUGGCAAGGCGCAU